rnacentral:rRNA from 1 species
CAGUCGCCGCGGUAAUGCGAAGGGGGCUAGCGUUGUUCGGAUUUACUGGGCGUAAAGGGAGCGUAGGCGGAUUUUUAAGUCAGGGGUGAAAUCCCAAGGCUCAGCCUUGGAACUGCCUUUGAUACUGGAGAUCUUGAGUCCGGGAGAGGUGAGUGGAACUGCGAGUGUAGAGGUGAAAUUCGUAGAUAUUCACAAGAACACCAGUGGCGAAGGCGGCUCACUGGCCCGGAACUGACGCUGAGGCUCGACAGCGUGGGGAGCAAACAGGAUUAGAUACCCCAGUAGUCCCUGUCUCUUAUAC